UCAACUUUUAAAGUUUUAUUUUGAGCCAUAUGGUCCUUUAGGAUCAAACUCACAAUUGCAUCCAUUUCAGCCCUUUGUUUUCCAAUGUAAUUGGACAAUGCUUAAAAAAGUUAUAUUUGAUUUCCGGAAUAUACAACACAUCUUUAAUGAAGGAAUCCUCACCAUUCUUCCUCUUGAUUGAUACAUUGCCAAUAUCCUCUGCUGCAAGUGUGUUAUCAUCUGCAAAUUUCACCUUGUUCUUCAAUGCUUGAUUGAUCAUAACAAAUAAAUC
rnacentral:lncRNA from 1 species